UGGGGAAUUUUGGACAAUGGGCGAAAGCCUGAUCCAGCAAUGCCGCGUGUGUGAAGAAGGCCUUCGGGUUGUAAAGCACUUUUGUCCGGAAAGAAAUCCUUGGCUCUAAUACAGUCGGGGGAUGACGGUACCGGAAGAAUAAGCACCGGCUAACUACGUGCCAGCAGCCGCGGUAAUACGUAGGGUGCAAGCGUUAAUCGGAAUUACUGGGCGUAAAGCGUGCGCAGGCGGUUUGCUAAGACCGAUGUGAAGUCCCCGGGCUCAACCUGGGAACUGCAUUGGUGACUGGCAGGCUAGAGUAUGGCAGAGGGGGGUAGAAUUCCACGUGUAGCAGUGAAAUGCGUAGAGAUGUGGAGGAAUACCGAUGGCGAAGGCAGCCCCCCUGGGCCAAUACUGACGCUCAUGCACGAAAGCGUGGGGAGCAAACAGGAUUAGAUACCCUGGUAGUCCACGCCCUAAACGAUGUCAACUAGUUGUUGGGGAUUCAUUUCCUUAGUAACGUAGCUAACGCGUGAAGUUGACCGCCUGGGGGAGUACGGUCGCAAGAUUAAAACUCAAAGGAAUUGACGGGGUCAUAGCUGUUUCCU
rnacentral:rRNA from 1 species